GUCCAUGGUCAUAUGAUCUGGAAAGUGCCUGGUCUUAUCUCAUCUCAGAAGCUAAGCAGGGUUGGCCUGAGUAGUGGUCAGAGGAGAAAGCACCACAUAUU
rnacentral:rRNA from 14 species